rnacentral:lncRNA from 1 species
UGUUAAAUUACCUUAUUGAAUAAGUGUUGAAAAAAUUAUUUCAGCUAUCUAGUUAAACUUAACAUCUUUAAAAAUUCUUGUUAUUUUAACAAACCUCUAACAUUUUAUUGUUUAUCAAAUUCUUAAAAAUAUAUAUAUAAAUUCAAAGAGAACGUGUGUAGAUAGCUAAAGAGUUUUAGGGCUCGUUUGGAAGUGUUUUUGAAA